UACGUAGGGUGCGAGCGUUAAUCGGAAUUACUGGGCGUAAAGCGUGCGCAGGCGGUUGUGCAAGGCCGAGGUGAAAUCCCCGGGCUUAACCUGGGAAUGGCAUUGGUGACUGCACGGCUAGAGUGUGUCAGAGGGGGGUAGAAUUCCACGUGUAGCAGUGAAAUGCGUAGAGAUGUGGAGGAAUACCGAUGGCGAAGGCGGCAUCCUGGACCGACAUUGACGCUGAGGAGCGAAAGCUAGGGGAGCAAACGGG
rnacentral:rRNA from 1 species